rnacentral:misc_RNA from 1 species
UGAGAUAAGACGGACAGUGAGGUCUCCUUUUACAAUGCUAUUCAUCUCUCUACUAAACUAAUGCUAUUCAUCUCUCUUGUGAGAGUCAAUGUGUACUAUAAACCAUUUGUAUGGGAAACCCAUGUUUUCAUACAGUUAUCUAACCAUACUAUGAGAGACACCUGCUUUGUAUGACGAACCAGUACAGCUACUUCCACCAGCACCUCUAUUGGCACGAAAGGACGCAACGACAGUGGGUAGUCUUGAGUUUUCUUCUCAAUUCAAUCCUUCAACUGAAGAUGAAUCAG